rnacentral:rRNA from 1 species
GGAGGGUGCAAGCGUUAAUCGGAAUUACUGGGCGUAAAGCGUGCGUAGGCGGUUUAUUAAGUCAGAUGUGAAAGCCCCGGGCUUAACCUGGGAACUGCAUUUGAAACUGGUCAACUAGAGUAUGGUAGAGGAAAGUGGAAUUUCUGGUGUAGCGGUGAAAUGCGUAGAUAUCAGAAGGAACAUCAAUGGCGAAGGCAACUUUCUGGACCAAUACUGACGCUGAGGUACGAAAGCGUGGGUAGCAAACAGGAUUAGAUACCCUGGUAGUCCACGCCGUAAACGAUGAUAACUAGCCGUUGGGGGAUUUACCCUUAGUGGCAACGUAACGCGUUAAGUAUCCCGCCUGGGAGUACGGCCGCAAGUUAAAACUCAAAGGGAAUUGACGGGGACCCGCACAAGGCGUGAGCAUGUGGUUAUUCGAUGCAACGCG